CCUACGGGCGGCAGCAGUGAGGAAUAUUGGUCAAUGGGCGCUAGCCUGAACCAGCCAAGUAGCGUGAAGGAUGACUGCCCUAUGGGUUGUAACCUUCUUUUAUAUGGGAAUAAAGUGCAGUAUGUAUACUGCUUUGCAUGUACCUUAUGAAUAAGGAUCGGCUAACUCCGUGCCAGCAGCCGCGGUAAUACGGAGGAUCCGAGCGUUAUCCGUAUUUAUUGGGUUUAAAGGGAGCGUAGGCGGGUUGUUAAGUCAGUUGUGAAAGUGUGCGGCUCAACCGUAAAAUUGCAGUUGAUACUGGCAUCCUUGAGUACAGUAGAGGUAGGCGGAAUUCGUGGUGUAGCGGUGAAAUGCUUAGAUAUCACGAAGAACUCCGAUUGCGAAGGCAGCCUGCUGGACUGUAACUGACGCUGAUGCUCGAAAGCGUGGGUAGCAAACAGGAUUAGAUACCCGAGUAGUC
rnacentral:rRNA from 1 species